rnacentral:tRNA from 1 species
UUAAUUGAAACCAAAGCUAGAGGUAUGCCACUGUUAAUGGUACAAAUGAGAACAUCUCCAAUUAAG